GGUCCUCUAGUAUAUCGGUUAGUACGCAGGAUUCUGAUUCCUUAGAGCCCGGUUCGACUCCGGGGAGGACCU